rnacentral:rRNA from 1 species
UACGGGGGGAGCAAGCGUUGUUCGGAUUUACUGGGCGUAAAGGGCGCGUAGGCGGUCAGCACAAGUCAGUUGUGAAAUCUCCGAGCUUAACUCGGAAAGGUCAACUGAUACUGUGCGACUAGAGUGCAGAAGGGGCAACUGGAAUUCUCGGUGUAGCGGUGAAAUGCGUAGAUAUCUGGAAGAACACCAGUGGCGAAGGCGGUCGACUGGCCCAUAACUGACGCUGAGGCACGAAAGCGUGGGGAGCGAACAGG